UACGUAGGGCGCAAGCGUUGUCCGGAAUUAUUGGGCGUAAAGAGCUCGUAGGCGGCUUGUCACGUCGGGUGUGAAAGCCCGGGGCUUAACCCCGGGUCUGCAUCCGAUACGGGCAGGCUAGAGUGUGGUAGGGGAGAUCGAAUUCCUGGUGUAGCGGUGAAAUGCGCAGAUAUCAGGAGGAACACCGGUGGCGAAGGCGGAUCUCUGGGCCAUUACUGACGCUGAGGAGCGAAAGCGUGGGGAGCGAACAGG
rnacentral:rRNA from 1 species